AAGCGGGGAUAUUCUUAUAAGACGAGAAGACCCCAUGGAGCUUUAAACCCAAUUAUAUACCUAACUAUUAUAACCACUUAAUCCCUUAGCGCUAAUAUACUUGGUUUUAGGUUGGGGCGACCACGGAGUAUAACUAAACCUCCACAAUGAACGAAACAACCCUUCUUAUCUGAGAAUUACACCUCUAAGAAUUAGUAUACUAACAUAAAAUGACCCACUAUUGAUCAACGAACCAAGUUACCCUGGGGAUAACAGCGCAAUCCAUUUUAAGAGCCCCUAUCGACAAAUGGGUUUACGACCUCGAUGUUGGAUCAGGAUAUCCUAGUGGUGCAGCAGCUACUAAAGGUUCGUUUGUUCAACGAUUAAAAUCCUACGUGAU
rnacentral:rRNA from 1 species